rnacentral:rRNA from 1 species
GUGGGGAAUCUUGCGCAAUGGGCGAAAGCCUGACGCAGCCAUGCCGCGUGGAUGAUGAAGGUCUUAGGAUUGUAAAAUCCUUUCACCGGUGAAGAUAAUGACUGUAGCCGGAGAAGAAGCCCCGGCUAACUUCGUGCCAGCAGCCGCGGUAAUACGAAGGGGGCUAGCGUUGCUCGGAUUUACUGGGCGUAAAGGGCGCGUAGGCGGACAUUUAAGUCAGGGGUGAAAUCCCGGGGCUCAACCUCGGAACUGCCUUUGAUACUGGGUGUCUUGAGUAUGAGAGAGGUGUGUGGAACGCCGAGUGUAGAGGUGAAAUUCGUAGAUAUUCGGAAGAACACCAGUGGCGAAGGCGACACACUGGCUCAUUACUGACGCUGAGGCGCGAAAGCGUGGGGAGCAAACAGGAUUAGAUACCCUUGUAGUCC